rnacentral:tRNA from 1 species
GGUCAAGUAGCCUAGUGGUUAAGGCAGCCCAUGCGUGUUGGGUCUGGAUCCAUUGGAUCUGGUUGCUGGUUCAAAUCCAGCCCUGACCA